rnacentral:tRNA from 1 species
CCCUGUCUGUCCAGUGGUUAGGACUAUGCACUCUCACUACAAAAGGCCUGGGUUUAAUCCCUGGUCAGGGA